AUUACAACAGAUAUAAUCUACUUGUUCUAUUCCUUUAAACGGAUAACUGCGGUAAUUCUGGAGCCAAUACGUGAAGAAAGCCGGAUUCAGCAAUGAGUUCGGUGCACUUAUCGGAGCAAAAUCAAUCUUGAUACAUGCUAACUCUAGAUAACCAAGCUUAUCGCAUGGCCUUGUGCCGGCGAAAUUACAUUCGAGUAUCUGCCUUAUCAACUAUCGUUGGUAGUGUAUUGGACUACCAUGGUGUUGACGGGUAACGGAGAAUCAGGGUUCGACUCCGGAGAGGGAGCCUUAGAAACGGCUACCAUGUCUAAGGACAGCAGCAGGCGCGCAACUUAUCCACUGAUCACCGGAUCAAAAUAGGGACAAAAAAUAACAAGCCCGUUCCCUUUAAGGUCGGGCUUUGAAAGGAAUAAAAUCUAAACAAUUUCAGGAUUACCCCGAAAAGGGCAAGUCGGGGGCCGCCACCCCCGGUAAUUCCACUUCUCGAAAGGAUUAAAAUUAUGGUUGCGGUUAAAAAGUUCGAAUUGGAAUCCAAUACCGUUGUGGGUAAUGCCUAACGGCUCCCAAUCCACUGGUUUUUGCCUAACUAGAGGCUGGUCCUGGUGUGUAGAAUAACUUUGAACGGUUAAGUGGUUCAGGGCAAUCCUUCGGAUUGAUAACCGUGGCAGGAAAUAUGGGACCAGGGUUUCGCCCAAGUUUAAUGGUUUUGGUCGGUAAAAACAAGGGUAACAGGACUGCUGGGGGCACUCCUAUUGCUGCCCAAGAGGGGAAAAUUCGUGAACGGCAGCCAGGAGCCUAAAACCGAAAGGCAUUGGCAAGAAG
rnacentral:rRNA from 1 species